rnacentral:tRNA from 1 species
GCCUGGGUGGCUCAGUGGUAGAGCAUCUGCCAUGGGCUCAGGUCAUGAUCCCAGAGGUCCUGGGAUCUAGUCCCACAUCAGGCU